GGGACUGUGGCUCAGAGGUAGAGUGCUCACCUAGCAUGCAUGAAGCCCUGGGUUCGAUUCCUCAGUCCCA
rnacentral:tRNA from 1 species